rnacentral:pre_miRNA from 1 species
AAUGUUUGACGCUGUUGACUUUUUAAGUACAUGUUUGACCGUUCGUCUUAUUUAAAAAUUUAAGUAAUUAUUAAUUCUUUUUCUAUCAUUUGAUUCAUUGUUAAAUAUAGUUUUAUGUAGGCAUAUAAUUUUACAUAUUUCACAAAAGUUUUUAAAUAAGACGAACGGUCAAACAUGUGCUAAAAAGUCAACGG